ACGGGCAAGGCCAAGUGGGAUGCCUGGAAUGAGCUGAAAGGGACUUCCAAGGAAGAUGCCAUGAAAGCUUACAUCAACAAAGUAGAAGAGCUAAAGAAAAAAUACGGG
rnacentral:misc_RNA from 1 species